ensembl:lncRNA
GAGGGACUCCUAUAAAAGGCCGGCGCGGGCGGGGGUGUGGAACGUCCUGGCUGGGAGCGAUAAGACGGCGGCUAAGCACCGCCCCCUGCCCCGGGCUUUGGCCCUUUUCCUUGCAUCUGUGUGGUUAUUUUUGGGUCGCGAGGAGUGGUGGCCUGAGAAGGCGCUGCUCCCUGGGGGCGCGAGGGAAGAGGCAGUCCCGGAAGCGGUUCUGGGGGGCUGCUUCCUCUGCCCUGGGGAGCUCCCCCAGCCCUGGGGGCAAGGGAAACGCCCUCGGGAGGUCUCUAAACAACGGCCCUGGGGGGUUUUCCUCCCCCCGGCUUGCCAAGCCUUCUCUUCCUUUGCAGAAACUGCCAAGCUCUCGGUUUCUGCCAGCCACGCUCCGUUUAUUCUUAUUUCCGCCUGUUUGCGCUCUGCGUUAUCUCCACUUCAGCUCUGUUUUCCAAAUAUUUCCCAACAAGUGGGCCCUUGUGAAAGGCAGCGGCGGGAGUGACGCUUAUAGUCCUGCUGCUUGAAGAAGCCCUGCGUAACUUCGAUUCUGCACCAUGGAAACGCGCUCUUACCGAUUUGAAUAGCAUCCCUUUAAGGCUCUGGGAAUCUGAAGGAGUCCCUUAAUAUUUAAUAUGCUGAGAUUAUGGUAUUUCUAAAAUCCUGAACGGUUUAAAAGCCACUAGUGUGAAGAAAGGAUGGUUAUCGAGAGAGAUCUGUGCCUACUAAACACAAAUGUAUCGGCGCACAGAAUCGAAUCCUCUGCUGUUCAGAUACUUGGCAAAUGAAACUCAUGGCUGAAGGGAAAGCAACAGAAAAUUCAGAAAUCAUUUCACUGUGGCAGUAUGAACAAAAAUAGAAUUUCAAGGCCUGUGAAGUUAUAGAUUCUAACUCUUUAUUUCACUUACACAGGAGAGAAAUGAGAGAGAAAGGGCCUCCAUGGAGAUUCCGGUAGAUAAAGAAAAAUUACCCAAAAUAGUAAAGAUGUUGUACCUAGAGAGCAGUGUUUUGCGAAAGGGGGUGUCACGGUGACCUUGGGGUCAGUAGCUGUCUCACCAAGUUUACAUAAGCAGUCCAAACUCCGGAAACCUUGAGUCUUUCUAUAAUCUCCCUCCCAGGUCUCCAUCGCCAGGGUCCCUGAGCAAGUGACUUCAGAGACCUGAGCCCUAAGCCUCUUCUUUGUUAAUUCAGGAUUUCUUCUUUCUGGGGAUCAAAAAUGGCUAUUUCCAAGGUCUGGGAUCUUCCUCUCCUACGAGAUGCAGAAGUCAAGUGGAUUGAUCAUUAUUAAAUUUAUUUAAAUAAUGAGGAAAUUGAGAUAUCUAAAGUUAGGGCCAUGGCCAAGAACGCAGUGCACAUCAAUGGAAAAAUCUAGAAAUACAGAUGAUGAUUAGGUGGGUGGCUGAGAGUAUGUGGUGGUGUCCAGUAGAUGAUGUUAUGUAGUCAGGCUGGUCAAUGGUUAUGGAAAAAUAGAGACACUACUGCCACCUUCCCCACCUCAUGGUGUUAGGUAAGGAAGGGACAGGAAGACACAUGUCGGGUUGUGACAACUAAGUGGUGAGUGGGUGGGGACCAGUUCCUCUACUAUCAAAAUAGUGCAGCCGUGCUCCUAGGACCAUAUUUGGUGUUCUCGCUUUGUUCCUGCCCUCUUCUCCUGAAGAGUGACUCUAGCUAUACAUUUGCUUUUUGAGGACUAGUUCAGCCACCUCGAGAAGGACACUGUAAGAGCAUCCUGAGGCGAUGUGGAAUAAUUGUUCACUGCCAGGAAAUGACAGCACUAGACAAUGUUUGUGUGGCAACCCAUGACAGGGGCUCCAUUGAGCCAAAAUGUCAUGCUGGUCUGCAAGAACAGGAAGCAGAGCUGUACGCUCUGGCAAUUUUCAUAAAUAGACAGCAAGGCUCCCGAAACUAGUGAAUUCGUGGACUGUAUCCAUGUGUGACAUGCAAGUGGUGCUUCUGUGUUUUCAGCCAUGUCCAUGCUCAGAGGAGACGAAAGGAGGCUGUUAGUGCCGUCUUUAUGACAAAAGACAACAGUCCAGGCUGACUCCUCCCAUGCCACAAAACUGCUAUAAACUCCCAAAUUGGCAAGUGUUGGCUUAUAGAUGGCACCAACCCCAGGAACGAUGAGGUCAGCUCCUGGGAUGGAAAAACAGCUUCUGGAUUCCACAUAUUGGCGAGAUCAUACGGUAUUUGUCUUCCUCUGCUGACCUACUUCGCUUAGCACAAUGCCUGUGAGGUCUAUCCAUAUGGUUGCAAAUGGCCAUCAAAAUCCACUUUACCUGAAAUAUUUUUUCUUGUUGUUUGGACCCGGGCUGGUGAGCUAAGUCUUCCUUCUUGCUGCCUCUUGGAGGAGAAGGUAAUAACCGAACACAGUGACAUUACUUGUCGUCUUCACACUCAUGUGCAGAGUCGAUAAACACAAAAGAAUCUACUGUGUCGGGAUGAGCUUCUGUGUCAUCGUAGCUCAGCUGGAGAUUUAGAGACCUGCAGUGGGAGUGGGUUGUUCGAUUCAACUUAACAACCAUUCAUUUCUUACCUCCUAAGUGCAGAAAAAGAGAGAUGAGAGACAGGCGACUGGACAGAGAGAUACCAAGACAAGAAAGGGAAGGGGCGGCUCUCCAGAUGCUCUAAAACCAUAAUAAAUAAAAAAUCAUUCUUAAAUCAUCUCAAACCAACAAACGCUGUCAUUGGCACGCACACACACACACUACACCCUAUAGGCACGUAGGGGAGAGAGAGAGAUAGGCAAAUAUUUGGGGUUUUGAAUGGGUAUGCGUUGAUAGGCUGAUGGAGUGCGCACGUGCGCACACACACACGCACUUUAUAGAAAGGCCCAGAGGAGGGGAGCAGAGGGUUCAGAGAAUGGCCAGAAGUCUGAUGUAAGAGCCUGCAUAGCCAAGGGAAAGGGUGGAAGCUGUAGAAGAUAAUGGCUGGAGAGGUAAAUAGGGCUUUUAACACCAGGCUGAGAAGUCCAGACCUCAAUCUGUAAGGAAGGAGAGAGCACAGCAGGUUUUGAACAGAGAAGAGACAGGAUCAGAUCUGUACUUUAAAAAAUAACCCUGGAGAGAGAUUGGAGGCACAAACAACAACAAUAGCCUCCCUUGACUGAGUAGCUAUCCCUAUAUUGCAAGUAUGGAAACAGACUCAGAAAGGUUAAGUGGUUUCACCUAGGUCACACAGCAGUUAGGUGUCAGAGCCAAGAUUUCCACUCGGAUCUGACUGAAUCUACAGUAUAAAGACCUACUCUUCAGUCCUGUCUACAAUUAGGCUACUGUCAAGGUCCAGAGGGAAUGAAGGCCUGUACACAGUGGCAGCAAAAAGAAGAGAUGGGGCAGGAGACACUGAGGAAGCAGAAUGGAUAGAUGGUUCCCUGUCUACUCAUAGUGACCUGGGGUCCUCAUAGAGAAAUCUCAGUCUGGAAGAGCGAAGAUCACGGAGGAAGAAACAAGAAGACAUUUGGUGAAUCCUGGGUGUCUUAUUCCUGCCAGAAAACCUGAAGCUCACUGUGGAGUACCAAGCAGCAAGAACUCAUUCCCGUUGUGUCUUUAGCGACAACAUACUUCUUGCCAGAUUCCUUUUCUUCACCUUCCCCUUUAUAUAUCUGGGUUUCACAUGCAGCCUGUCCAUGUCUGUGUUAUGAAUUCAUAAUGAUAGUCUCUGGUUAUCUGCAUGAAUCUGGAAAAUGCUUGUGUGUUUGCAUCAUUGAUCUGUGUAAAUAGAAAAGCCCAGUGAAAAGGGCUGGAUGCUGUUAUGAUAUUCGUGGAUAGGUCUGAGCCUGUCAUUACUCUCCUUUGUGUGACUAUUGUGAUGUUGGAUAUCUACCUUGUUUGUGCAUCAGAAUUGUUGUUUGCUGUCCAGGACGCAAGAGGGUCUACGUUAUCAUUUUGACACUGUCCAGGACUCAUUUUAGGCUAAGAGUGGCUUCUUGGAAAUACCAUUCCCUUUUCUUUGAAAUUUCAACCCCCACGGGAUGUAAGAAAGAGAUAUGGGAUUCCUCCAUCAGAGAUUUCCAACCAUUCCAAUUCUACUGGCUUCUUUCUCAAAGCCUGGAUAUAUGUUUAUGUUUCACGUCUUAAACUUCAAAAUCCUCCUCCACGCUGUGCCCUCUGACACUCCCACUCUCGGUCCCCUCCCUCCUGGCCAGGUUCUUCAGAGGGUUCUCUGUGCUGCCCCGCCCCGCCCUCACCGUGGCUCCUCGGCACACCAUGAUGGGCGUCUUCCUCAUCUCUCUCCUGUUGGGAUGUCCCUGUGUAUCUCAAGGUCAAUCGUGUUUCCCCUCAACUUGCUUUAUCUUUCAUAUUUCCUAACUCAGUGACCGGUACUACCAUCUAGCUACCCGGGCCUCAGUCUGUAAAACUGAGAGUCAUUGCACAUCCCUGUGCUUUGUCAUUCUCCCAAAUCUAAUCAAUGGCCAAAUCCUUCACUUCAUUUGGGCCCCAAAAAUGCCUCUCUCCCAGCCCUUCCCCCACCACUGCUAAGGCCUCGUUUCAGCCAUCAUGGUCUCUGGCCUGAGUGAGCCCCCUGCCAGCAUCCUCAAACCCCUCCACCCACAUCCCACCCUGCUGCCAGAGUGAUCUCCCCGAAACCAAAUUUAAUGAUGUCACCUCCUGCCCAGAACUCUUCAAUGGCACCUCGUAGCUUCUAGGCAAAAGUUCAAACGCCCAAACUGGCCGUUGCCUGAUGCUGCAACUUAAUCUGCUCUAGUCUCCCCCACUGGACUCUAUGCUUCAACCAUGCUGGCUGCUUACAUUUCUCCGUAUUGACUUCAUUAUUCACACCUUCAUGUCUUUGUUCAAAUUGGUCUUUCAAGCUUCUCCUAUGCCCACCUUUCUUCAAUGUCCCGUGCCCUCCCUGGUGCGGUGGACCAUCCCUUUCUUUGCUCCCUACAGGACCCCGGGACAAUUCUAACACAGCACCAGCAACUCUCAUUGCCCCACCAUCUCCGUGUCUUCCUGUGACAGACUGUAGGCUCCUUAAGGACAGGGACUCCGUUUCAUUUAUUUUCAUAUUUCUAGCUUCUAGCACCAUGUCUGCUGGACAGUCGGUGCUCAGUAAGUAUUUGAGGAAGGAAUGUUUAUUAGUUUUCAUUAGCUUCAUUGGAAACAAUUUUUUGUAGCUUAAAAUUUGGAUUUGGGGGAGGGCAUAAUGUCCCGUUCGUUUUACUACAGCAGACUUUAUCCUUUGUUUCCCGUCACUGUUUCCCGUCUGUAAAGGCUCUGAUGUUCACAGUGCAAGUAGGAGCGAGGGGGCAAUCAGGAAGCCAGAGGAACACCUGGCUAAGGUGAACCAGGCCGAGGGAACAGGGCCAUGUGGCUCCAAUGAGACCAUUACAAUUUGCAGGAAACAAUGGUUCUCUUUAAGGCUACGGAGCCAGCUGAGAUUUGAUUUAUACUCAAAUCUAAUCACGAAUUAUAAAAGGUUUAUUAUGGGGGUAGAGUAAAAAGCAGCAGAGUAAUCUGUAGUCCUGGUGAUUGUUUGCAUAAAAUCUAUAGGCAAACAAGUGUUCUUACUUUCAAUAUAGUCCAAUUUAUCAGUUUUCCCUUUUUAGUUAAACGCUUUCGUGUCUUAUUUAAGAAGUCUUUUCCAACUUGAAAGUCUAAAAGAUUCACCUGUAUUUUCUAAUUAGAGUUUUUACGUUCUGGUUUUGAUGGUUAAGAUCUUAAUCCACUUGGCAUUGACUUCUACUUAGAGUCUGAGGUGGAGAUUCAACUUCCUCCUUUUUCACACGGAUAAUAAUUUUAUCCAGCUCCGCUUAUGGACUAGUCUCUCCUUUCCCCACUAGUCUUAACUGCCGCCUCUGACGUACGGCAAACUUUCCUACCAUCCCACUCUAUUCCCUUGGUCAUCUGUCUGUCCCCGCAGCAGUGCCGCACUGCUUUAAUUACUGUAGCUUCUCAGCAGUUUUAUCGUCUAGGGGGUAGAGAUCAGGAAGCUCCUUGCUGAUCUUUUAUAAGCAUCCUACCUCCUGUUCACAGUAACAAACACCCCAAAACAACCCAAAUGCCCAUCAGAAGGAGAGUAGAUGGAGAAGCUGUGUUUUACUCUCACCUGGAUGUGAGUCAGCAGUGACGACAAAUGAAAUACAGCUACGGGUGACACUAUGGCUGAGCCUUAGCAAUAUAUUAAGUGAAAAAAGUAAAUUUCAAAAGAUUGCAGACAUCAUGAGACCCUCUUCAUAUAGUUAAAAGUGACUGGAAUAAAAACAUACUUUUUAAGAAUACAUAGAGAUGAAAUAAAAUGAUAUAAAAAGAAAAGCAAGUGGAUGAGAACGCAGGGUUCAGGGCGACGGGUUCCCUUAGGCGGGGGAAGGCAGCUGAGUGUCUACUGGGGGUGAGUGUCUGGGAGCUUGUUACAGAUUUAAAAUAACUGAAUAAAUAAAAGAGAAACGUGGUUGAAGAAUGAGGAUGUGUUUAAUCCAAUUCUGAGGCUAAA